AACUGCUUUGAUUGAACUUUAGUCAAUGCAUCUACCAAAAUAAAUCUUUCUUCACGGUCAUAAAAUGAAUGCACUUUGUUUGUGGUUUAAGUGAGACAUUCUAACAUGUACUGCUCUGUUUUGUCCAGCUAUGAGAGAGAACUGAGAGCAGUCACAUCAACACCAAUGAAGGGGAAGCCAUCUAGUAUUAACUACUCCAGAAGUGUCCAGCAUUUCUAGUGGGACAGACAGAUGAGCAUCUUGGCGCAAUUGCAGAAGCCCCUGAAAUUGAGAACCUUGAACAGAAGAUCAGCUUUCCAGGAGACUGCAAAUUUAGAAUGAUGGCCCAUGUUGCUUCAAAGGCACCAUACAAAAAGGAAGGGUUCAUGUGUAAAUACCAUAAUUUGUUAAUUUCUGUAAAUAAAUAUAUUGCAAAUAA